GGUGAAUUUUCCCUCCUCUGCCCCUGCCUUACCUUCAGAUUGCUUCCCUGCCUUGAUUUUGUCUCCAAAAUCUUCCUGUCAAAAUCCUUGUACCUGUACAUGCCAAUGACUGUUGAGGUAGAAGCAAUGAGUAGUGAUCUUGCAUAAAAUUCUUGCUGAACAGAUCUAAACAAGCCACCUCUGCAAAUAUUGAGACUGAUGUGCUUUGUUGAUCGAGAACUUGACUCUGAUAUUAGAGUAAUUUAGUGUGAAAUCUGUGUAGAUUUAUGAAUAGCUGAUGAAGGUGAGAGGAAAAAUGAUUGUAGAAAUUGGGAACACAUGAAAUUUUGUGGUUGAAGUCAGGCUGAUUGCAGUUGAGAAAAGAAAAGGAGAGGCAUAUCGCAUUGGUUUAAAUUUGAUAGAAGAAGAAUAUGGUUGUUUUAGUAUAUAUGUUAAAUUUGUUCAAGGUAGCCCAGAGAUCCUUUAUAUCUGCAGUUCUGCACCGACUUGCCAGAAAUCCUUUACAACUGCACUGAGUUUAGUCUGACUUGGUUGUCCCUUUUCCCUGAACUCACCCUGUCCUCUCAUUUACCUGACCUGAUGGGAGUAGGGCAAGACUGGUUGCAGAUCAAUUAUCGUAUUGCCAUCCUAGGCUGUACCUCCUGAAAUUGACAAUCUUAGAUUUUUAACAACUUUCAGAACAUGAACACAGGGUUGGUUCCUAAAUUCUUAAUCCUUAACAUGUAAUAAUAAAAAUCAUGAUUGCUGUUAUUAUUCAGUGUUUGUUCUCAGAAUAUCUAAGCUUGUCAAUGUUGUUUCUGAAUUAUGUUGAUGGAUUCUUCAUGUUUGUCUCAAAAAUGCUCUGCAGUUUCUCAGUGCCUUAUGAACUG
rnacentral:misc_RNA from 1 species